GCGGCUCGGCUUCGCUUCUCUGCAAAUUAACCCCCUCUAUGACCGAGUUGUGCACAGCGGAUCGCGACGUAGUGUGUGCUAUCAGCCUCUCUGGUUCCCAGUGGGUCUCAAACAGAAAGAAAAUCCCGUUCUGACUUUGUUUUCAAUAUAAUUUGUCCUCUUUUUCGCACCCACGGUUUAAGAAGUGCUGCAGACUGAACAAUUCGCUCAGAUCAAAAAACUGUUCCCUUUGAAAGAGCUUUCUUUCCACAGCACAGCACAGACAGGGAGGUUGUUUUGUUGUAUAUAUAUUUUUUUUUGGAGCAGGCAUUGUACUGAGUGAGUGUAACUUGAUAUUUUUCUGCAUGUCCCCAGAGGGUUUUUUCCAUUACACAGACUCUGCAGAAUGGCUUGGCUCCCUUCCUCUCUCUCCUCUGUCCUCCUCCCCCCCCCUCCCAAUCUCCCUCUCCUCUCUCAAUCACCCUCCC